UGUUACAGGAUACACAGUAAUAGGUUCAGAUUAAAACUCUGUCUCCAAGGAGUGAGGGCGGCAUUGCGUCGUCCUCAGCUGGGGAAUCAUGAAAGAGAGCGGCAUUUUGAGAUCCAAGCUUCCUGGAAGUUCGGCGUGGGUCCUUUCCCCCUCCUGCUCUGAAGAAUCUCUCCUCACCCCAAAUCAGCUAAGUGUCUCAAACAGUUGUUUUGACACUAAGAGGAACAAUACCUUGCUGGACAGACACUGAAAGUGACAUUUCCUAAACAGAAAUUUCUGCCGACAUCUUGGUGCCUUCCCUGUUUCUUCCAUGCCAUCCCUGAUGAUUGGAAUGCCCUUUCCAGAUCUGUUCACCAAGUCUCCACCUUUGCCUAAUUCAAACCACUCCUAAAAACUCUCUUCUGCUGACUGCCUGCAAACAGCUGUUGUUGUUCCCCCCUGUGAUGUGGUGCCUGCCACAGACUGGGCUCUAAGGAGUUAAUAGAGCCUUAGAGAGGCUGCACAGGAGCCAGCCAAUCAGAGAAGGGCUGAGGGGAGCUGCUAACCAGAUCCUGGCAGACCCCUAUAAGAAGAGCUGCAGGGCAGAGCAACUUCAGUUA